AAGGUCCGUGGUAGACCACCACGUCGAUAGGCUGGAGGUGUAAGUACAGUAAUGUAUUCAGCUUACCAGUACUAAUAGACCGUGUGCCUUGACCAC
rnacentral:rRNA from 1 species